CUGAAAAAUCACAUCCCCAUGGUGAUGUAUUGAAAAUAGUAAACCAAUUGUCCAUCAGAUACAGAGAACCAAGUAUUUCUGGUGGUUGGUAGAAGAUUUCUCUUACUGUGUAGAGAGCUCAACUGUUUUCAGACUGUAUCAGUUGCUGACCAGGUUUUGCUUCUCAAGAGGAACCUGAAUUACAACAAUAUCCAAACAGGGGUCUUAUUUUAUUUAUAGUAAAGCUUGGCCUCCACUGUACUGUACCCUCACUGCCACAGCACAUAUGACUGUGCUCCCCAAGGAGACUGCUUCAGCCCUGCAAUUAGUAGCAUACCCAGGCUGUUAGCUGUAACUGGCACACCUAAAAGGGCCACCACCACCUGAAGGAGAGCAGGGAGCAGCCCGAGAGCCAUCCCUGAGCUGUUUGGGCCUGGGGAGCUGAGGAAGGCUGGGCUCAGCAGAGUCCUUCUGAAACAAUGCCAUGUCUGAAAGCAGAUUGCAGUUAUGGCUGGCCAUGGUUAGCUAGCCACAGCAGGGAGGUGAGGGAGCCUGAGGCUGCUGCAAGUGUUUUGAAAGCUCUGGAAGAAGUGAUCCUCCCAAAGAGCUUUCUAGUGGGAAGAGUCCUGUUCACAGGAUGCCCUCAGGAGAGAAAGUGCUUGCAUUGUGUGGAGUUGCAUGUGGGUGAAGAAAAGAUCAUCCUGAAAUCCACAAAACUUGUGGCUUUAUUUAGAAAAAUGGACAAUAAGCAUUUGCCUAAUGACCAAAAGAGAGAGAGAGUUUAUCCUAUCUCCUGAUCACAGUAAUUUCUGAAUUUGAUACUGCGUUUAGAAGUGUAUCUAUUUGCUUUUUGACUCUUUGUUCUUUUUGAGAAGAUGGAGAAGAGUGGUGCCCAAAAUAACCCUUCCCUUCCUGUAUGAUACUGUGUACAAAUGUUGUAACACUUAUGAUGACUAUUAAUACCCCUGAGGUUAAACCUACACUGCCUUCAGCUGGUAAAACCAGGGCAUCAGGAGGCACAAAACGGAGCACAGCUGAAGUUGCCUGGGGCAAGAACAGGUGACUGGAAUCUGGCUGUAAUGAGUUAUUUAACAGAGCCUACAGCUGAAUGAGGUUUUUUGUUGAUGGGAAGAACAGACUUCUGGGUACAAGUCAAGUACAUGUCCUUAUGGACGCCAGUUCUGGGAAGAAGUAUAAAGUAAUGCUGAAGGUUGCUGAUGUUGUGUUAAGCUUCUUGCUGAGGCUAUCGAUGUGCCAGGGAGGUAUGGUAGCAGAGAGUUGCUUGGCCAGGCAGCAGAAGCAGUUAUACAGCAAGGAUGGUGGCAGUUGCUGCUGGGGUGUAUGAAGCAGGAUGAGUAGUGCUCAUCUGAUCUACCUGUUUUGGCUGGAGAGAUGCACUGCGGAGCCUGCUGCCCCCACCUAGGCCAGGAGCUGAGAGGCUUAAAGAGCAGGGAAAUAAGUUGGGUCUUCCUUUUGAAAGAAAACUGUCACCCCUGAAGUACAAAAUCGGCUUCAGUUGGGACAGGACUGACCCACCAAUCUCUGAGCAUGAGUAAUGUGGGGGAGCAGUGGAUUUUCUGAGCACUGCUCAGAAAACUGCUUGGUGUUGCCUAUUAAAAGAAGAUUAUGCUCAAAAACUUGAAAAGCCAACCUCCCCCAGCAGCAGUGCCAGCAGCUGGUAGUGCUGGUGGACAUGCCAGACUGUGGGGUGGUACAGGGGGAGGCAGGAAGGGCACAGGGCAUGUGAAGGCUCUCAGACUUGAGCACAUGAAAAGGCGCUUUCAAAUCUUCCCUUUUGAAUAUAGAAAGGUAGAGCAGUAGGAGUUGUUUGAAAGUGAAUAUGCCACUUCCAACAUAAAGUUUUUGUAACUUUGGUUUAAUGAUGUGUAUCAGAGAGAGAAUCCUGGGAGCAACAUUCAGGCCAGCACAAGGCCACAGACUGCAUGAAGCAGCCACUCCCACCUGGUCUGUUUCAGGCCCUGGCUCUGGAUGAGAUUGGGAAGACGCUGAGAUGAAUAUCGGGAUGUGCUCAGUGUUUGCAAGUGACACUGGGUCCCUGGUAUGAGGCAGUAUGGCAGGUGACACGCCAUUUCUUGAAACCUGGUGGUGUCUACAGGCACACACAAAAGAAUGUUAAUAAAAAUGCAAUUGUUGUACAUGUUAUUGCAUAAAAUGUAUAUUCUUAAAUUUGCAUAGAGCUAUUUGAGUCUGUACAUAAGUCACUCCAGAGAGAUUCAGCAAAAUAAAGCAAAGUGAGAGGGAGAGAGAGGACUUUGUGCUGUUGCUCUGGUGCCAUGCUCACACUUGCCAGCCCGAAAUCAGGUGGUCAGCAGACGAGGCUGUGCACAGCACUUAAAAACCCCAGUGAGAAAGAAUAUGUGUGUAUGAAGGGUUAAUGUGUCUGGCAUCACAAACCCUCUCUUCCCAAUUUUUUUUGUUGACACGGCUAGGAAAGGUAUGGACUCGUAGAAGGACUAACAUGAAAAAACUUCCAUUACCUAGAGCUUCAGAUUUUGAAACCAUACCACAAAAUCAAAUGUACAGGGUUUACACCACAGAGCUGGUAUUGGUACUUUUAUGGGCAGGGAAAUGAGUGUGCUUGUGGUCAGACACUGAAUUGCAUGAUGUCAAUAUAGUUUCUGUAUAGGUAAGGAUUUUUCCAACAGGCAUAAUUAAAAAGUAGUCUAACAGAAUAUUUAGGGUUUUCUUUGCAUUGAAUUGUGCUAAUUUGGAAGAAAAUACUCAGCAGUUGCUGCUGGGGAAUACAAGCUUCUGGAAUGGAGGCAGUUGCAGUGAUUCUUGUAUAUCAUUAAAUCAUGAAUAAACUUAGAAACUGUGUUAUUCAAGCAACUGCUUCUAUAUUGGAAAUGUAAAUCACAAUGCCAAAUUUUAUUUAACUUUAUGCAAAAAUUGGCAUGCACAGAAUCAGUUUUCUACUCCAUGAUGAUUUAUACUCAAUAACAAGUCAUUUUUUCCAGCAGAAAUCUCCAAAAAUUCUGGGCCAAGUAUAAUAUAUAGUGCUGUUGUACUGGCAUUUCCCACAAGAACCAGUAAGCUGUGCGUUCUCCAAAUAGUCACAGCAGAGAACUAGGAUGCAAAAAAUAUUCUCUAAGAAUUUUGUAUUAAAAAGGAUUUUUAUACCUCAUGCUGUACUUCCUUUUGGUCAUUUUGAGGAAGGGUUGACAGUAUGAUGAAUAAAAAAGUUCAGGGCUCAUAUAUAGGAGGAAACUAGAAAUGCUAUAUUGUGGGAGAACCCUAACACCUUUUGCUAAAUAGUAGUUUAUUAGAAAGUCUUUUUUUUAUUUCUAGUCAGGCUUUUUUAGGCUAGUUGUAGUGCAUUAAAAUGGGGGGUGGAGGGGACAGCUUUGUGUGCCAGUCACCCUGUAGCAGGAGUCAGAUGUGCUUCUACUGUCGUGUAGAUGAGGUCCUUAGUGACAUGGUUUAGUGGUGGACCUGGCAGUCUGGGGUAAAAGUUGGACCUCAUGAUCUUAAAGGUCUUUUUCAGUCUAGCUGAUUCCGUGAUACUGCAUGUGCUGCUUCCUUAUUAAAACCAGUGAGGAAGAAUUUUUUUAGUCAAUACAUGGUUUCAUUCCGUGUUUGGACCCUAAGGCUUGUCAGGUAUGCUCACCUUUUGCAAUAUUAUCAAAAGGGAAAAGGACCCUGGUUUUUGCUCGUAGGCAGAUGAAGGCAUGUAACUCUCAAGAUGAUUCUGCUCUGAAUUAAAAUGCUUUGUGUAAUUGUCUAAGUAUUUAAAGUUGUCUGCUGAGGAUAAUAGUAUGUACUUGAUUAGAUUUAUUUGGCAUGAGCUUUUGAUUUGGAUUCUCCAGGAGAACAGAUCUGAAAGUGGUGCUUGGCAGCAGGGCUGACUCCUCUGUGUGGGGAUUGCUCCCUGUCUGCCUGCAGACUGCUCUUAAUAAAAUGAUCCACCUAAUACAUGUUGUCCUUUGUUACUUGGAGCUCCUCACAGCUGGAGAAGCACAUCAAACAGUUACAAGAGCUUUGUUUUCUUGGAGCAGCUGAAAUACUAGGUAACGACUUCAGAAGUGAUGGUUUUACACUCUGGAGAUAAACACACAGCUGCCACUUCGUUGGGGUUACUGUACUUCAUGAAAAGGUUUUGUUUUCUAAGCCAGAUCCUGUGCUUCAGUCUGCACCCUGUGCACUGCUUACACCUUACACCUGCCUGUGCACCAAACCCUGCUCUGUGAGGUGAGCAGGCAGCAUGUCCGAGUGAAGGAUUUGGCUGCCCAAAGGUGCGCAGUGAUGCUGGGGUGGAUGCCCUUGAGUGUCUGAGACAGGUCUGGUGGUAUGAUGUGAACCUACAGGAAGGCUGCUCCUGCCCCGGAGACUGGAGUGUCUCCAGUGGCAUGUAAGUGUUCAGGCAACUGAAUCAUUCUUCUCAUUUCCAGCAGUUAAAAUGAUGUUAUCUGAAAGUAACCCAAUCCUCCUCCUCGGUAUGAAGAGCCACUCCAGACAGAGACUGUUGGCUCUGCUUAACAGGAACAGUUGCAUUUCAGUUAAUUUAAACUAACACAUGGGCUCAGGACUCCUCAUUAAAGCUCAGAGCAGCGUGAAUGUGUGGGUGAGAGAAGAGCCAGAAAGCCAGUGUGGUUCACUUGGGCUUGAUCCUCCUGUUGCUCAAGACAAAAAUU